UACGGAGGGUGCGAGCGUUGUCCGGAAUCAUUGGGCGUAAAGGGCGCGUAGGUGGCGGGACAAGCGUGCGGUGAAAGCCUGGGGCUCAACCCCGGGUCGGCCGUGCGAACUGUUUUGCUUGAGCACUGUAGAGGCAGGCGGAAUUCCGGGUGUAGCGGUGGAAUGCGUAGAGAUCCGGAAGAACACCGGUGGCGAAGGCGGAUCUCUGGGCCAUUACUGACGCUGAGGAGCGAAAGCGUGGGGAGCGAACAGG
rnacentral:rRNA from 1 species